UGGGGGAAUAUUGCACAAUGGGCGAAAGCCUGAUGCAGCAACGCCGCGUGAACGAUGAAGGCCUUCGGGUCGUAAAGUUCUGUCCUCAAGGAAGAUAAUGACGGUACUUGAGGAGGAAGCCCCGGCUAACUACGUGCCAGCAGCCGCGGUAAUACGUAGGGGGCUAGCGUUAUCCGGAUUUACUGGGCGUAAAGGGUGCGUAGGCGGUUUUUAAGUCAGAAGUGAAAGGCUACGGCUUAACCGUAGUAGCUUUUGAAACUGGAGAACUUGAGUGCAGGAGAGGAGAGUGGAAUUCCUAGUGUAGCGGUGAAAUGCGUAGAUAUUAGGAGGAACACCAGU
rnacentral:rRNA from 1 species